rnacentral:rRNA from 1 species
UACGGAGGAUGCGAGCGUUAUCCGGAUUUAUUGGGUUUAAAGGGUGCGCAGGCGGCGUGUCAAGUCAGCGGUAAAAUGUCGGGGCUCAACCCCGGCCGGCCGUUGAAACUGGCGUGCUCGAGUUGGAGAGAAGUAUGCGGAAUUCGUGGUGUAGCGGUAAAAUGCAUAGAUAUCACGAAGAACCCCGAUUGCGAAGGCAGCAUACCGGCUCCACACUGACGCUGAGGCACGAAAGCGUGGGUAUCGAACAGG